ACAAACGAGAGUUUGAUCCUGGCUCAGAAUCAACGCUGGCGGCGUGCCUAACACAUGCAAGUCGAACGAGAAAGUGGAGCAAUCCAUGAGUAAAGUGGCGCACGGGUGAGUAACACGUGACUAACCUACCUUUGAGUGGGGAAUAACUUCGGGAAACCGAGGCUAAUACCGCAUAAUACCUACGGGUCAAAGGAGCAAUCCGCUUAAAGAGGGGGUCGCGGCUGAUUAGCUAGUUGGCGGGGUAAUGGCCCACCAAGGCGAUGAUCAGUAUCCGGCCUGAGAGGGCGCACGGACACACUGGAACUGAAACACGGUCCAGACUCCUACGGGAGGCAGCAGUGGGGAAUUUUGCACAAUGGGGGAAACCCUGAUGCAGCAACGCCGCGUGGAGGAUGAAGUCC
rnacentral:rRNA from 1 species